GCCCCGAGGUGAUUUACAUGUUGAAUUGCAAAUUCAAAGGAGCAGCUUAAGCUUCUGCCGGGGCUUC
rnacentral:tRNA from 1 species